CAGUGGCGAACGGGUGAGUAACACGUGGGCAAUCUGCCCUGCACUCUGGGACAAGCCCUGGAAACGGGGUCUAAUACCGGAUAUGACCUGGGACCGCAUGGUCCCGGGUGUAAAGCUCCGGCGGUGCAGGAUGAGCCCGCGGCCUAUCAGCUUGUUGGUGGGGUAAUGGCCUACCAAGGCGACGACGGGUAGCCGGCCUGAGAGGGCGACCGGCCACACUGGGACUGAGACACGGCCCAGACUCCUACGGGAGGCAGCAGUGGGGAAUAUUGCACAAUGGGCGAAAGCCUGAUGCAGCGACGCCGCGUGAGGGAUGACGGCCUUCGGGUUGUAAACCUCUUUCAGCAGGGAAGAAGCGCAAGUGACGGUACCUGCAGAAGAAGCACCGGCUAACUACGUGCCAGCAGCCGCGGUAAUACGUAGGGUGCGAGCGUUGUCCGGAAUUAUUGGGCGUAAAGAGCUCGUAGGCGGCCUGUCGCGUCGGAUGUGAAAGCCCGGGGCUCAACCCCGGGUCUGCAUUCGAUACGGGCAGGCUAGAGUGUGGUAGGGGAGAUCGGAAUUCCU
rnacentral:rRNA from 1 species